AGCACUGUAGGUGCCAGCCGCCGCGGUAAUACGUAGGGGGCAAGCGUUGUCCGGAAUUAUUGGGCGUAAAGCGCGCGCAGGCGGUCAUUUAAGUCUGGUGUUUAAUCCCGGGGCUCAACCCCGGAUCGCACUGGAAACUGGGUGACUUGAGUGCAGAAGAGGAGAGUGGAAUUCCACGUGUAGCGGUGAAAUGCGUAGAUAUGUGGAGGAACACCAGUGGCGAAGGCGACUCUCUGGGCUGUAACUGACGCUGAGGCGCGAAAGCGGUGGGGAGCAAACAGGAUUAGAUACCCUGGUAGUCCACGCCGUAAACGAUGAGUGUUCGCCCUUGGUCUAUUCUGAUCUGGGGCUCAGCUAACGCGUUAAACACUCCGCCUGGGGAGUACGGUCGCAAGACCG
rnacentral:rRNA from 1 species